UGAUCAGUGUUUUAUCAUUAUACACGUUUGCAAUCGAAAUAAAAUCUUUUACGGUGGCUACCAAAUGGAAAAAGUACAAUUCAGCACAAUAUUUAAGUGCAGUAAAUCAUGGUGGAUGUUGAUACAUACAGAUGAGUGAUCCGUGCAUCCUGUAUUUUUUAAGUAGAUACCUGAAAAAUCCAUCUUGUAAUCGAAGCAGUGACUUCCUACUUGAGCCAUAACCCAUGUGUUGUGCACCUUAACCUCUGAUUGACAGGUUGCUUCCCAGAAUAGUGCAUAUUUUAAGCAGUUUGUUUAAUCGGUUAAAAAAUGAUGAUCCAAUAAUUGGUUGAUCCCCAGAUUGAAAAUGGCAUGAAUGUGGGUUAUAUGUCAUGUUCUUCAUUCAACUCAUAUGAUUUUAGAUUAAUGUUAGUAACAUGUCAGCACUCUCCACCAUCAUGAAAACACCAAAUGAGGGUGCUGUACUGUUAGUCAAUCCAGUAAAGCUCACAGACUUAAGGGAGAUAUAUGGUAGACCAGCAUAUUUUUAUGACACUUUAUGUUAGUUUUUCCUUUAAAUUUUCAGAAAUCUGUAUUUAACAGAAAACAUAAAAAGGAAAAACUAUAUUGAGAAAAGUUUAAAAUGGUUUGUGGGAUGUUGUGGUGCUAUUCUCACAAGUGGGCGCAUGAUUCAAAGUAGUUUACUAAACUCUUCUCAGGAUAUCACACUGCUUUUCAUUUAUGUCCUUUUCACUCUGAAUCCAUAUUUAGGUUCAUAAUAUACUGCAUUUCCUUCACUCUGCUACAAUAAUAUAGUACUUUAUAUGUCGGGAAAUCGAUACCUUGUGAAUAUAUAGAGAAACUGAGUUGACCAUUUUGUUGCAAAUGCAUAAAUAAAAUCCUACAAAUGAUAUUACAGCAGUGUGUCUGAUAUUCAUGUAAGUUUAGAGGCUUUAAAAUCACUCAAGGUGAUCUUUGAUCCCAAAAGAACAGCUGGACACUUGUGUGUUUAUGCAAUAUAAAGCUUUAUUUAAAAAGCUCAGAGAACAGUCAGCAUCGUAAUGUAGCAAUACUUAUGCAGACACACUGGCCUGGCAACUAAAUAUUAGUUACAUGUCAUCAUUUCAUACAGAAAUAAAUCUCCAUUAGAAGAAAGAGAAGGCAUGAGCUUUAGUUUCUGACAGCAUGAGUCAGUACAUAUACACUGAUAUGGCACCUGAACUUCAUAUAAAAAUAAAUCUCUCAACAUAGGAAAAUAAACAUCCAAUCAACAUUAGAAAAAAGAAACAGCAUCAAGCAGCAGCAGGUGAAGUGGAUCAGAUCAGAUCACUGGGUAGUUUGAGUUAUAAGACACAUUUCUGGAGUGACUUUUGGACAUAGGUGUUGUCAUCAGAGUCCUAACAAAACCACAAAUACUAUAAAAUCUAAUUAUUCCCUUAUUGUGGACAUGAGUCUGGAUAAUAUCACAGUGGUUUGUUUGAUUUUAACAUCAGAAAACACUAAACUAGAUUGUAUUUUGCUUUUCUACAAGUCGGAGAAACUAUUUCUAACAAGUUAAGUGGUUCGUCUCUGCCUUUAGCCUGGUCACCAGUGGGAGUUGUUCCAGUAUACACAUGAUUAUUGACACAUCAGUAAAUCGUGGGUUAAAGUAUGUAAUUAUAAUGCAAUCACAACAUCACUAAUUCAAUAUUAUGAGGCUUUAAAUGACAAACCUUGGAUAUUCAAUACAAAGAGUUAAUGGCAAACAACUCCUACAGGUAAACAUGCUAAGAGCUGCAACAUAAUACUUAACUUUUUAUUUAAUUUCCCAGAGGGCCCUCCCCAAGAGAUCAACAAAGUUCUAUCUAAUCUAAUGUAAUUUAAUUUGAUGUAAUCUAAUCUAACUUCACCUAAAACAAUAAUAAAAAUGAAACACAUUCUGUUCUUAAUAAAUCUAAUGAAUAUGAAUUAAUGAAUGUAUGAAUUAGCAUCAUUGGAAUAUUUGGGCAAUAGAAAAUAAAAAUGUUGAGCAUUUCAUGUCCACUUUCAGACGAAUCCUAACCAAAAUCAAUGUGGUCAUUUUUGUCUGAGUUAAACACAAUUAAAACUGUUGAGCCACAAUAUUAAGGACAAAACCACCUUUUCACUAACAUUAAAAAAACUUGUUUGAUUGACACCGUCCACACCAUCAAAAACACAUUCAUUCUCCAACAUGAACCACAGGAUGUUUUCCUCAUGUUCUCCUCAAAUGUCACUGUCACUCACUCCAUUUGUGUCCAAUAAUAUACGUUUAAAUGCUAAAUAACGUGACUGCAGGA